rnacentral:rRNA from 1 species
AUUGAACGCUGGCGGCAGGCCUAACACAUGCCAGUCGAACGGUAACAGGAAACAGCUUGCUGUUUCGCUGACGAGUGGCGGACGGGUGAGUAAUGUCUGGGAAACUUCCUGAUGGAGGGGGAUAACUACUGGAAACGGUAGCUAAUACCGCAUAACGUCGCAAGACCAAAGAGGGGGACCUUCGGGCCUCUUGCCAUCGGAUGUGCCCAGAUGGGAUUAGCUAGUAGGUGGGGUAACGGCUCACCUAGGCGACGAUCCCUAGCUGGUCUGAGAGGAUGACCAGCCACACUGGAACUGAGACACGGUCCAGACUCCUACGGGAGGCAGCAGUGGGGAAUAUUGCACAAUGGGCGCAAGCCUGAUGCAGCCAUGCCGCGUGUAUGAAGAAGGCCUUCGGGUUGUAAAGUACUUUCAGCGGGGAGGAAGGGAGUAAAGUUAAUACCUUGACUCAUUGACGUUACCCGCAGAAGAAGCACCGGCUAACUCCGUG